rnacentral:rRNA from 1 species
GACGAACGCUGGCGGUAUGCUUAACACAUGCAAGUCGAACGAGAAGCUUUUUAAUGAUCCUUCGGGUGAACUAAGAAGUGGAAAGUGGCGAACGGGUGAGUAACGCGUGGGUAACCUGCCUCAUGGAAAGGAAUAGCCUCGGGAAACUGGGAGUAAAGCCUUAUAUUAUUGAGUUGUCGCAUGGCAAUUCGAUGAAAACUCCGGUGCCAUGAGAUGGACCCGCGUCCCAUUAGCUAGUUGGUGAGAUAACAGCCCACCAAGGCAACGAUGGGUAACCGGUCUGAGAGAGCGAACGGUCACACUGGAACGGAGACACGGUCCAGACUCCUACGGGAGGCAGCAGUGGGGAAUAUUGCGCAAUGGGGGAAACCCUGACGCAGCAAUACCGCGUGAGUGAAGAAGGUUUUCGGAUCGUAAAACUCUUUUAUUGGGGAAGAAGAAGUGACGGUACCCAAUGAAGAAGUCCCGGCUAACUACGUGCCAGCCGCCGCGGUAAGAC